GGGCGUGUGGUCUAGUGGUAUGAUUCUCGCUUUGGGCUUAUGAUUCGGUUAUCCCGAAGCAUAGACAAACUUGUGAGAGGUCCUGGGUUCAAUUCCCAGUAUGCCCC
rfam:Metschnikowia bicuspidata var. bicuspidata NRRL YB-4993 METBIscaffold_5, whole genome shotgun sequence.